ACAGUAUCCCAUGAUCUCAGUGAACUGUUAGGGAAUCAUCAAGAAGAGCCCAAAGUGAAUCCUGGUUGUAGGGGAAUAUAUGAGAUACAGAGGAAGGUCAAUAGAGGCAGCUUCUAAAGUGAUGCCAGAGAGGAAAUCCAGCAUUUAUAAGAUGAUUUCAAGUGGUAACACAGUACCACAGUGUGUCUUGGAGAAUUAGUCUCAGCUUUAAAUUGAAGGGCACAGAUUGAUCAAGGUAGGAGAACUGUAUCGACACUUCCAUUCCAGCAAGGCCACUGUGUUGAAUUCCUGGAUCCAUCGCUCGUCUUCCAGGAGUGAGAUGGGGGAACCCUCAUGUUUGGUUGUGAUGAUUGUAACAAGGUACUGUCUUCCUGCCAAGGAUCUUUGACCCUGAAGAACUGCUACAGUUGCUGGAAAAAAUGGCUGUCACGACACCAAUCGACCAAGUCACCGAUCCAUCAAUAGUAAUGAUUGAGCAAUGCUUGGUGCAGAGCAGUAUACUAAGCUCUUGGAUGAGUGCAAUGGGGGUAAAAGACACGAUCCCUGCACUUUCAGAGCUUACAGUCGAAACCUCUCAAAAUAUCUCCUGACCAGUCAGAAGUCUUGUGGGCUAUGGAGAGUGAAGGAUUGGUCAUUUGGGUGAAGCAAAUCUCAGUGAUAAACACCGAAUCGAAGGAGUGUACACAGAGGGCUAUCUCUUCCCAAGACACUGUGAAGGAAAAAAAAAACUGGGGUGGAGUGUAGAGAGUGAAAGAUUAAAUGGAGGCAGAAAUGGCCUCAGAAUCCCUUGU